GGGGUGCUAUACAUGCAAGUCGAACGCUUUGUGGUUCAACUGAUUUGAAGAGCUUGCUCAGAUAUGACGAUGGACAUUGCAAAGAGUGGCGAACGGGUGAGUAACACGUGGGAAACCUACCUCUUAGCAGGGGAUAACAUUUGGAAACAGAUGCUAAUACCGUAUAACAAUGACAACCGCAUGGUUGUUAUUUAAAAGAUGGUUCUGCUAUCACUAAGAGAUGGUCCCGCGGUGCAUUAGCUAGUUGGUAAGGUAAUGGCUUACCAAGGCGAUGAUGCAUAGCCGAGUUGAGAGACUGAUCGGCCACAAUGGGACUGAGACACGGCCCAUACUCCUACGGGAGGCAGCAGUAGGGAAUCUUCCACAAUGGGCGAAAGCCUGAUGGAGCAACGCCGCGUGUGUGAUGAAGGGUUUCGGCUCGUAAAACACUGUUGUAAGAGAAGAAUGACAUUGAGAGUAACUGUUCAAUGUGUGACGGUAUCUUACCAGAAAGGAACGGCUAAAUACGUGCCAGCAGCCGCGGUAAUACGUAUGUUCCAAGCGUUAUCCGGAUUUAUUGGGCGUAAAGCGAGCGCAGACGGUUAUUUAAGUCUGAAGUGAAAGCCCUCAGCUCAACUGAGGAAUUGCUUUGGAAACUGGAUGACUUGAGUGCAGUAGAGGAAAGUGGAACUCCAUGUGUAGCGGUGAAAUGCGUAGAUAUAUGGAAGAACACCAGUGGCGAAGGCGGCUUUCUGGACUGUAACUGACGUUGAGGCUCGAAAGUGUGGGUAGCAAACAGGAUUAGAUACCCUGGUAGUCCACACCGUAAACGAUGAGUGCUAGGUGUUUGAGGGUUUCCGCCCUUAAGUGCCGCAGCUAACGCAUUAAGCACUCCGCCUGGGGAGUACGACCGCAAGGUUGAAACUCAAAGGAAUUGACGGGGACCCGCACAAGCGGUGGAGCAUGUGGUUUAAUUCGAAGCAACGCGAAGAACCUUACCAGGUCUUGACAUCCCUUGACAACUCCAGAGAUGGAGCGUUCCCUUCGGGGACAAGGUGACAGGUGGUGCAUGGUUGUCGUCAGCUCGUGUCGUGAGAUGUUGGGUUAAGUCCCGCAACGAGCGCAACCCUUAUUACUAGUUGCCAGCAUUCAGUUGGGCACUCUAGUGAGACUGCCGGUGACAAACCGGAGGAAGGUGGGGAUGACGUCAAAUCAUCAUGCCCCUUAUGACCUGGGCUACACACGUGCUACAAUGGCGUAUACAACGAGUUGCCAACCCGCGAGGGUGAGCUAAUCUCUUAAAGUACGUCUCAGUUCGGAUUGUAGGCUGCAACUCGCCUACAUGAAGUCGGAAUCGCUAGUAAUCGCGGAUCAGCACGCCGCGGUGAAUACGUUCCCGGGUCUUGUACACACCGCCCGUCACACCAUGAGAGUUUGUAACACCCAAAGCCGGUGGGGUAACCUUCGGGAGCCAGCCGUCUAAGGUGGAC
rnacentral:rRNA from 1 species